GAUGAACGCUGGCGGCGUGCUUAACACAUGCAAGUCGAACGAGAAGUGAAGACGGAAACCUUCGGGCGGAAGGCUUUAUUUCGAGUGGCGGACGGGUGAGUAACGCGUGGGUAACCUGCCUCAUACAGGGGGAUAACAGUUGGAAACGACUGUUAAUACCGCAUAAGACCACAGCACCGCAUGGUGCGGGGGUAAAAACUCCGGUGGUAUGAGAUGGACCCGCGUUCGAUUAGCCAGUUGGCGGGGUAACGGCCCACCAAAGCGACGAUCGAUAGCCGAUCUGAGAGGAUGACCGGCCACAUUGGGACUGAGACACGGCCCAAACUCCUACGGGAGGCAGCAGUGGGGAAUAUUGCACAAUGGGGGAAACCCUGAUGCAGCGACGCCGCGUGAGUGAAGAAGUAUUUCGGUAUGUAAAGCUCUAUCAGCAGGGAAGAAAAUGACGGUACCUGAGUAAGAAGCCUCGGCUAACUACGUG
rnacentral:rRNA from 1 species